rnacentral:lncRNA from 13 species
GAGGAGAGGAGAGGAGAGGAGAGGAAUAAGAGAACGAAGGAAACAGAAAAAAUAGAGAAAACGUUAUUGUACAUUCCACAUUAUGAUGUGGAAUGACUCUGUUAUAAGGUCUGAAUCUGUGAUGGUGCAAUAGUUCCAGUGAAGGCAGGCACAAGAAAUUAUUGUCUGCUCACAUGUUUGAGCACCUGGAGUGUUAGUGAUUAAGUAGAGGAGGCCAAAAGGAAAUUCUCUAAAAUGGAGCACUCAAGAGAACUACUUUUCAGGAGUGGGAGAGUAUCUCUGAUAACCCUUACUUCAUUAUUGCAGGAACUGAAUGUUUAGGGACAUGGAUGAAUCUGGAGAACAUCAUUCUCAGCAAACUGACACAAGAACAGAAAAUGAAACACCGCAUAUUCUCACUCAUAGGCGGGUGAUGAAAAAUGAGAACACAUGGACACAGAGAGGGG